GACAGAGGGUGCAAACGUUGCUCGGAAUCACUGGGCGUAAAGGGCGUGUAGGCGGGUAGGCAAGUCGGGCGUGAAAUCCCUGAGCUCAACUCAGGAACUGCACUCGAAACUGCUUAUCUUGAGUGCCGGAGAGGAAAGCGGAAUACCUGGUGUAGAGGUGAAAUUCGUAGAUAUCAGGUGGAACACCAGUGGCGAAAGGCGGCUUUCUGGGACGGUAACUGACGCUGAGACGCGGAAAGCGUGGGGAGCAAACAGG
rnacentral:rRNA from 1 species